rnacentral:lncRNA from 7 species
CGAGAGCAUCUACGACGAGCACAGAGAGAGGAGGGGCGAUGGAAGGUUCCGCUGCCAGGUGUCUUGCCCACGUUGCCGCUCGGGGUUCAAUUGGAGGCCUGGGGCCUUCGCCCAGGUGUGGGGUCGGCGCACCUUGCUUCGUUGGGUGGGAUUUUGGGCCGGAGGACCGAACAAUUGCUCGUCGGAGGCCAAUAUCCGCCGCCGGACCGCAUCCCAUCGUGGCCAGACUUCACCACCGCGUAAUCACCGGAAGGGAGGCGAUAUCAAUUUACCUGCUAACAAGCGACGCCGGAGGAUUGUUAACCAACCACAACCAAGGAUGAACCCUCCACCAGCUCGAACAGA